rnacentral:lncRNA from 1 species
GACUCGAACACCUGUUAAUUUCGUAUCGUGUCGUGUCUGGUUAUCGGAUCGUAUUAGGAAUUGUUAGGCCUAAUCCAAGCGCACAAAAAAGCUGGAGUAAAGGCAAUAUUUCAUUUUACCAUGUUCCAUGGGGUCAGUUACUGUUACUCUCACAGUUGCAACGCCAAAAAAGAUUGCAAGUGGCCGCACAUUGCCUAAGACAACGACAGGUCCUUGCAGAAGCACUAUCAAACUCUCAGUGCGUGCAGGUUACAAAGUGGCAGCCUUUGCCCCUUGUAUCAAUCUAUCUCACCGUCCCAAGAAACUUCCAUGGGUCAUAGGCUCCUAGGGAUUUUGACCAACACCCUUCUCAGCCCCCGCCCCUCAACCCCUAGCACCACUCUGAUAGCUUUUUUCCUCUCUUUUUAUCUUAAGUGGGGCUAAUGAGGUUCCAUUCUCUUUCCUAUAUCCUUGUUUGGAUUCAAAGGUCCCGAAAGAAAACAAAGAAGGCGUGAAAUCCAACUUUUAUAGUACAUGUAUUGUAGUAUCUUGUAUCAAUGAUGUAAUGUUAUGUAAAAAAAUUUGUACAUGUAAUUUUGUAUUAUUAAAAUGAAAUAUAAAAAAAAGUCCGACUAAAGUCAUUCACAUACUUACAUCGAAUCAAACGAAAUUUAAAAAAAAUAAAAUUAGUUAAAACAAGAAUGAUUAUUAUAUGAACGCAUCUGACACAUGAACACAGUCAGAGUCAUCAGAUUUGCAGAAUCUAUUUUUAACAAAGGUUUGUACGUCAUGUAUGUUGGACAAUUGAAUUUCCCCAAUCCAAGUUUCAAGUUCCAACCAUGUGCUGACACAUUUACUGCACAAAAUGGAUUUGG